rnacentral:rRNA from 1 species
UACGUAGGGUGCGAGCGUUGUCCGGAAUUACUGGGCGUAAAGAGCUCGUAGGCGGUUUGUCGCGUCGUUCGUGAAAACUCACAGCUUAACUGUGGGCGUGCGGGCGAUACGGGCAGACUGGAGUACUGCAGGGGAGACUGGAAUUCCUGGUGUAGCGGUGGAAUGCGCAGAUAUCAGGAGGAACACCGGUGGCGAAGGCGGGUCUCUGGGCAGUAACUGACGCUGAGGAGCGAAAGCGUGGGGAGCGAACAGG